rnacentral:rRNA from 1 species
GACGGGGGGUGCAAGAGUUAUCCGGAAUCACUGGGCGUAAAGCGUCUGUAGGUGGUGAAGCAAGUCACUGGUGCAAAACUCUGGCUCAACCGGAGGAAAGCCAGUGAAACUGCAUGACUAGAGUGUGGGAGAGGUAGAAGGAAUUCCCUGAGUAGCGGUGAAAUGCGUAGAUACAGGGAAGAACACCGGAGGCGAAAGCGUUCUACUGGAACACAACUGACACUGAGAGACGAAAGCUAGGGGAGCGAAUGGG